AUUGAACGCUGGCGGCAGGCCUAACACAUGCAAGUCGAGCGGAUGAAGGGAGCUUGCUCCUGGAUUCAGCGGCGGACGGGUGAGUAAUGCCUAGGAAUCUGCCUGGUAGUGGGGGAUAACGUCCGGAAACGGGGACUAAUACCGCAUACGUCCUGAGGGAGAAAGUGGGGGAUCUUCGGACCUCACGCUAUCAGAUGAGCCUAGGUCGGAUUAGCUAGGUGGUGGGGUAAAGGCCUACCAAGGCGACGAUCCGUAACUGGUCUGAGAGGAUGAUCAGUCACACUGGAACUGAGACACGGUCCAGACUCCGACGGGAGGCAGCAGUGGGGAAUAUUGGACAAUGGGCGAAAGCCUGAUCCAGCCAUGCCGCGUGUGUGAAGAAGGUCUUCGGAUUGUAAAGCACUUUAAGUUGGGAGGAAGGGCAGUAAGUUAAUACCUUGCUGUUUUGACGUUACCAACAGAAUAAGCACCGGCUAACUUCGUG
rnacentral:rRNA from 1 species